rnacentral:rRNA from 1 species
GGGAGCCCUAGCACAGGUGCUGCAUGGCCGUCGUCAGCUCGUGCCGUGAGGUGUUGGGUUAAGUCCCGCAACGAGCGCAACCCCGCCGUUAGUUGCCAGCGGUUCGGCCGGGCACUCUAACGGGACUGCCCGCGAAAGCGGGAGGAAGGAGGGGACGACGUCUGGUCAGCAUGGCCCUUACGGCCUGGGCGACACACGUGCUACAAUGCCCACUACAAAGCGAUGCCACCCGGCAACGGGGAGCUAAUCGCAAAAAGGUGGGCCCAGUUCGGAUUGGGGUCUGCAACCCGACCCCAUGAAGCCGGAAUCGCUAGUAAUCGCGGAUCAGCCAUGCCGCGGUGAAUACGUUCCCGGGCCUU